CGCUCACAUCUCCUUAUCACUUUUCCAGCCCAGCUAUAGCUUCUGAAUCCGUUGGACGGAGAACUGAUAAGGG
rnacentral:pre_miRNA from 1 species